ensembl:snoRNA SNORA70 Small nucleolar RNA SNORA70
UUACAUCCUGUUAUAGUUUGUCAUGGUGUCCUGUGUCUACUGGCUGUGCAUACUACCCCCUUGGUAACAUACACAGUCUGUCGCUUGUACGGGCUGCACUAAGGAACCUUAAAGAUACUA